AAAAAAAAUAAUGGUGUUGCAAACUCACAUCUCACCAUACAUUCCCGGGAAAAUCAGCCAAAUCCAGAAUAAAUGUGCAUGAUCCUUGCCAGCUGAAAAAGGAUUAAAAAGAGAGAAAACACCUGGCACAGGCCCAUAUGUUAUAUGUGGGAUCUGGGAAGCCACUGUAAAGACUUUGGCUUUUAUUUGGGAGUAAAACAGAGAGUCACUACAGGGUUUUGAACAGAAGAGUAACACGAUCUGAUUCAUGUUUUAAAGGAUUAAUCUGGCUGCUUUAGAAAAUAAACUGUUAUUCAGAGAAGAAAGAGAGAGGAGAGAAAUAAAAUGAAUGCCCACCAACAAGAAAAUGGUUGAGUUAUACCAGUUGGCUAAGAAAGAUUUUAGAGAGGGAUUAUUGAAUGAAAAUGGCAAAAUGGAAGGAAGCAUAUUAAAAUCUACUUUGGAAAGAUAAAUAACCACCAAAGAGAGGAAUAUGGGAAAGGAGGAAAGCAAGCAAACAGAAAGACUAUAUUUUAAAAAAAUGCAAACAUGAUAUAAUUAUACACAUCUUUAUGUCAAAUUAUAUGGGUGUGUAUGUCUUUAUGUGGCAUACAUAGCCUCUGGGGAGUGGAUUCCCAAAUCACCUAUAACCACCCAAUGGGUUCUUCCUGCGUGCUGCCCAGAUAGGGCCGAUUUAUCAAGACAGAGGAAUUGCAAUAGACGAAGAGUUUAAUAUACAUAGAGUCAGCUAAAUGGAAGACUGGUGAUUUACUGUCACUUGAAUCAGCCUCCCCUUAAAUUUGAAGGCUAGAGUUUUGUUAUUUUUCUGUUUGUUUUUUGAGAUACGGUCUCAGUGUGUUAGGUCAGAUCUCUUUCACUGUUAUAAUUUUCUCACUGUUAUAAUUUUUGCAAAGGUGGUUUCACUUCUAAAUUACAGGAGAAACCAGGAUGUAGUGAAUAAGGUCUGAUCUUGUUAACGAAUUUAUGGUCAAUGAGUUCAGACACACUGAAGUACUCCUGGCUGCGGGGGGUGGAGGGAGGGUAAAAUAUACACCCCACCCCCCCCCAUAAAUUUUGGAUAAUCUUUUGUCUUCUUAUUAUUCACAUAAUGAUAUUCACAUGUAAUCAGUGACUUAUUUUAUUUUUAUUUUUAUUUUUUGAGACAGAGUCUCCCUCUGUUGCCCAGGUUGGAGUGCAGUGGCAUGAUCUUGGCUCACUGCAACCUCUGCCUCUGGGGUUCAAGCCAUUCUCGUGAUCAGCCUUCUGAGUGGCUAAAUUUUGUAUUUUUAGUGAAGACACUAAAUACUACCGUAUUUUAGUGAAGACAGGGUUUCACCAUGUUGUGCAGGCUCCACUCAAACUCCUGGCUUCAAGUAAUCUGCCUGCCUUGGCCUCUCAAAGUGUUGGGAUUACAGGCAUGAGCCACCACGCCUGGCCUCAUCAAUGACUUUUAAAUUACUCUGUUUUAACUUGAAAAUCUCCUGUAAAACCGUAUUUCUGACAGUAUCUCCAACUGGGGAGAAAUUAUGGCAUAGGCCAGGCCCAAAUCUGGCACCUCUCCCUUAUUUGAGACUUUAUGAGUAACCAGUGGAUUCUAAACAAACCUUCUAGACAACCCACUGAUAAGAGCAGCAAUUCAGUUUAUCAGCUGUAAAUUACCAACAUGAAAACAAGCCAAUAUUUUUAUCUCUCCAC
rnacentral:lncRNA from 1 species